rnacentral:rRNA from 1 species
GCGUGGGGCUCGCCCGGUAUUAUGCCGCGGCGGGCCGCAACGGGAGGACGGCCGGUCGUUCCCGACCGGGGCGGCCGGCCAGCACUCCCGGGGCGCCUCGGCCUCGGCCGCAGGCGCACCCGGAGCGCACACGUUGGGACCCGAAAGAUGGUGAACUAUGCCCGGCCAGGACGAAGUCAGGGGAAACCCUGAUGGAGGUCCGCAGCGAUUCUGACGUGCAAAUCGAUCGUCAGAGCUAGGUAUAGGGGCGAAAGACUAAUCGAACCAUCUAGUAGCUGGUUCCCUCCGAAGUUUCCCUCAGGAUAGCUGGCGCCGAGUUGGAGUGAUCCAGUCUCAUCCGGUAAAGCGAAUGAUUAGAGGCCUUGGGGCCGAAACGACCUCAACCUAUUCUCAAACUUUAAAUGGGUGAGAUCUCCGGCUUGCUUGAGCGAAGCCGCGAGAAGAAGAGGGUGCUCUGCACUCUCUAUCUGAUGGAUGAUGGUGCCAAGUGGGCCAAUUUUGGUAAGCAGAACUGGCGC